GACGAACGCUGGCGGCGUGCUCAACACAUGCAAGUCGAGCGAUGAAGCUCCUUCGGGAGUGGAUUAGCGGCGGACGGGUGAGUAACACGUGGGUAACCUGCCUCAUAGAGGGGAAUAGCCUUUCGAAAGGAAGAUUAAUACCGCAUAAGAUUGUAGUACCGCAUGGUACAGCAAUUAAAGGAGUAAUCCGCUAUGAGAUGGACCCGCGUCGCAUUAGCUAGUUGGUGAGGUAACGGCUCACCAAGGCGACGAUGCGUAGCCGACCUGAGAGGGUGAUCGGCCACAUUGGGACUGAGACACGGCCCAGACUCCUACGGGAGGCAGCAGUGGGGAAUAUUGCACAAUGGGGGAAACCCUGAUGCAGCAACGCCGCGUGAGUGAUGACGGUCUUCGGAUUGUAAAGCUCUGUCUUUAGGGACGAUAAUGACGGUACCUAAGGAGGAAGCCACGGCUAACUACGUGCCAGCCGCCGCGGUAA
rnacentral:rRNA from 1 species